UCCACUGACAGUUUUCUUGCAGGCAUAGUAUUAGCAUUAGCAUUGGUUACAGUUUCCUUUUCUUUGAAAUACUUAUGCCUGAAUAGACCUAGCGGGUAAGUCGGCGAGGUCGGUUGCCGAACCCACUGGAAACUUCGUUGCAGUUCUCACAACUAAUCUUACAGGUCCUAGCACGAGCGGCGUGGCGGAGAACUAUGGCAAGGAUAUUGCGCCAUAGCUAGUGGCCACCGGGACUUAUGCAUUUUGUAGUCAUUCCUUUUGUAUACAUGUAUCAACUUCUUUUGUUGAUUUAGAGAUGUAAAGUUGUAAACAAUCAUGUAUUUUUGGUGGAUGGCUAAAAUGUAAAGAAUUAUGUUGAAUGGAAAAAGAAUGUAAUAGUUGUAGUUUACUUUUAUUUGGUUCAAAUGUAAUCAAGUAUUAUGUAUGGUUGUAUGUAUUAGCUUAGAGCUUUCGCUUCCGUUGUUGCUUGCUCUCGUGCAAACCUUGUAUAAUUGCAAAUCUCCUUAUUUGAUUGCUUUAUUAUACUUGUUGUUAGAGCCUUGGGCGGGCAGGGGAGGCCCUGUCCGUUCGGCGUCUGUUGACAUGCCCGAACCCGACCAAAUUGGCGGGGAGCGGGGCAUGACAGCCCAAGAGGCCUAAUAAGUUUUAAAUGAACAAAAACCCAAUAAAAUCUAAUAUUCCCCCAUAUGAUUUAAAACUUAAAAUAAAGAAAGUAAAUAAAAUGAAAUUCAAAACAACUUAAAAGAAUGCUGGAUCU
rnacentral:lncRNA from 1 species